UACAGAGGGUGCGAGCGUUAAUCGGAAUUACUGGGCGUAAAGGGUGCGUAGGUGGUUUGAUAAGUUAGGUGUGAAAGUCCCGGGCUUAACCUGGGGAUUGCGCCUGAUACUGUUAGACUAGAGUACUGUAGAGGAAAGUGGAAUUUCCGGUGUAGCGGUGAAAUGCGUAGAUAUCGGAAGGAACACCAGUGGCGAAGGCGACUUUCUGGACAGAUACUGACACUGAGGCACGAAAGCAUGGGUAGCAAACAGG
rnacentral:rRNA from 1 species